rnacentral:rRNA from 1 species
AUGGGAACGCGAAGAACCUUACCUACUCUUGACAUCCAGAGAACUUAGCAGAGAUGCUUUGGUGCCUUCGGGAACUCUGAGACAGGUGCUGCAUGGCUGUCGUCAGCUCGUGUUGUGAAAUGUUGGGUUAAGUCCCGCAACGAGCGCAACCCUUAUCCUUUGUUGCCAGCGGGUCCGGCCGGGAACUCAAAGGAGACUGCCAGUGAUAAACUGGAGGAAGGUGGGGAUGACGUCAAGUCAUCAUGGCCCUUACGAGUAGGGCUACACACGUGCUACAAUGGCAUAUACAAAGAGAAGCGACCUCGCGAGAGCAAGCGGACCUCAUAAAGUAUGUCGUAGUCCGGAUUGGAGUCUGCAACUCGACUCAUGAAGUCGGAAUCGCUAGUAAUCGUAGAUCAGAAUGCU